UCUCAUUAAAAAUCACCCGGUAAACUUAAGCAUAUUAUUCACCGGAGGAAAAGAAAUCAAAUGAGAUAUCCUUAGUAACGGCGAGUGAAAAGGAUAAAGUGCAAAAUUAAAAUCUCAAUUGAAAUAAAUUGAUUGAGAAUUGUAAUUUAUGGGUUAUAAAUGGAAGCAAGUAUUAUUAUUAUUAAGUUAAUUGGAAAAUUGCACCACAGAGAGUGAAAGUCUCGUAUAUAAUAGUAAUAUUUGUUAUUUCUCAUUUAUAUCUUAAGAGUAGUACAGCUUGGGAUUGUUGUAUGAAAAUACAGGUGGUAAAUGGCACCUAACACUAAAUAUAACUGGUAAACCGAUAGCAAACAAGUACUGUGAAGGAAAAUUGAAAUAGAACUUUGAAAAGAGAGUUAAAUAUUAGAAUGUGAAAUUAGACUAGUGAGAACCG
rnacentral:rRNA from 1 species